CUUGAAGCAGCUGGACACAUGACAUCCUCGGUCAAGAGCAGAGAGAAUCAAUGCAAGCCGGCUCACAUGUUUACUUGUGCUCAGGUCUGUGGCUGGUAUCUGAGAAGAUCAGAAGAGAUUGUCAGAUGCCCUGGAACUGGAAUUGCAGAUCCUCACUACUACACUGAGUCCCUGCCUCGCUGACCCAGAACACAGCACCGUUAGCCAGCCAUUGCCAGGAGACAAGAAGGGGCUGAAUCUCCCGUGUUCCCCCUCUCCUUGGACUGCACUUAGCGCAUACUGGGAGCCUAAGCAAGCAUUGGCAGUUGUCCGGUAGGGGGUGGGAGUUGGACCGGAGCCAGAAGCAGCAACCAGACCUUCCGCUGGGCAGGGCUCCGCAGCUGGGCUGUAACUAGAGUCUCCUGGGUUUCUCAGGGGCAGGACCCCCUCAGGUCUGGAAUGCAGCCUGGGCCCAGGGAAGGCUAACAAAUGGUGAAGGCUUUGAAAUCUCAGCUCCGCCCUCUCUCGGGGUUGAACAAACAGCCCCUCCUCCCACCUCUGUUGGAAGCGCCCAACCCUAGGCUGCCACUCAAGUUUCUCCUCGUCCUCAGGCUGGGGUUACAGCUGCUCUAUUCUGCGGCCUCUGUGGCCCCAGGACUGUGGGGAGGGAGAAGCAGAAAGACUCAGGUCCCCUUUCCCUGCCUUCUCGAGGUUCUGACCCGAGCGAGAUUCUAACCCUGGCUCACUAGGAAGGGUCAGAUUCAGCAGGGAGAAACGGGAGAAGUGGCAGGAACUCACUCCAUCACUCCCAUAAGGAAUGCCCAGGGUAGAAUUCUAUUCUCAAGCCCCAGGAGCUGGACUGUCCAGUGAACGUUUGUUUGCAUUUCAGUAAAAA